GAUGAACGCUGGCGGCGUGCCUAAUACAUGCCAGUCGAGCGAACGGACGAGAAGCUUGCUUCUCUGAUGUUAGCGGCGGACGGGUGAGUAACACGUGGAUAACCUACCUAUAAGACUGGGAUAACUUCGGGAAACCGGAGCUAAUACCGGAUAAUAUUUUGAACCGCAUGGUUCAAAAGUGAAAGACGGUCUUGCUGUCACUUAUAGAUGGAUCCGCGCUGCAUUAGCUAGUUGGUAAGGUAACGGCUUACCAAGGCAACGAUGCAUAGCCGACCUGAGAGGGUGAUCGGCCACACUGGAACUGAGACACGGUCCAGACUCCUACGGGAGGCAGCAGUAGGGAAUCUACCGCAAUGGGCGAAAGCCUGACGGAGCAACGCCGCGUGAGUGAUGAAGGUCUUCGGAUCGUAAAACUCUGUUAUUAGGGAAGAACAUAUGUGUAAGUAACUGUGCACAUCUUGACGGUACCUAAUCAGAAAGCCACGGCUAACUACGUG
rnacentral:rRNA from 1 species